CUAUGCCUCCCUCGCCGCCAAAUUCCGCCCGUCACUGCCGCUCGGUCGCCGCUUCGCCAUCGAUCUACCUCUGCGUCGCCUCUCGCAUCGUCGCGUCGUCGGUCUACACCGCCAAACGCCGAUCCCCGCCGCCAAGCAUCGCCCUGUCGCUCCUCCUCCUCGACGUCGUCAUCGCCGGUGAGCUCUCGCUCUCUCCUUCCUCCUCCCUCCGUUAUCCUCGGCCGCGCUCGUCGCCGCCUCGGUCUCCCGUUCCCCUUCCUCCCCUACCGCCACGCCCACGUCGGCGCUGCCCCGCCGCCGCGCCGCUUGCCCAUACCGUCACCCCUGCUCGGCCUUGGCCGCCGUCACCUCCUUGCGUUGUCGCCCCUCUUGGCCACCGCAGCCUCUAGCGNNNNNNNNNNNNNNNNNNNNNNNNNNNNNNNNNNNNNNNNNNNNNNNNNNNNNNNNCCCCCCUCGCGCGUCGCCCACCAGCGCUGCCAUCCACCGCACGCUCGGUCAGCGCCAGUCCUCUCUCCCUCUCUUGCUCUCACUGACGGGUGGGCCCAGCCCGUCAGUUCUCCCCACCCCUCUCUUACCUGGCCUGUGGGCCCACUUUGUCAGCCUCUUCUCCCUCUCGCUUUCUCUGCGAAUUGGUCCCCACUGUCAGCCCCUCUUUUUCCCUUGUCUCACUGUCCAGUGGGCCCCACUUGUCAGCACAUCCUCCAAUGCUGACGUCACUCCUCCAACUUAUUACGUAAUAAAUUCAUUAAGGAUUUUCUGUUUAGCUUAAAAUACAGUUAAACUUCUAAAAUUCAUAACUAAUUCAUCUAGUCUCCGUUUUAGUCGAUUCAAAUUUUAUUAAAUCCAGAAAAAUACAUAAUCCAUUAAAAAUAGUUUCUUUCUCAGCUUUAUAGCUUGUUUUUGCCUGUUUGUCGUAGGUUUUUUUUGCCCAUUAUAGCGCCGAUCGUCCUCAAAAUCGUCACCAAAGUUCCUCGUGGGUCAGAGCAAGGCAAGUGGCACCCGUCUUUGAUCAUAUUGAACCUAUAUUUAUAAAAUUCUCUGCUUUAAUUUCAAACAUGCAUUAUUUUAUGUAAAUUUACUUUUAUAUGUUUAUCUAUUGGGCAUUUACCUUUAUAUCCAUUGAUUUCCCAAAUAUUGUUAUGGUCAUCUCAGGGUUAAUUUGACUAGAAUUAGGAUUAGACAAUGCUUAGUCAUGCUUGGUUCAACUAGCUCACAUGUUCUUAAAUAAUUAAUGAUAGACUUUAUAGCAGUUGUUGAUCAUGAUUAAUCUCCCGUUAUGAAUUAAAUACAACUAAAAUAUUGCUUAUGGUAGGCUGUGGGUGCAUGGUUUUGAGAGUCGUGCCCAUGAUAGUUAAGGACCGGUUCUCGAAAAACCCUAAAAGUCUUAGAGCAGGUACAAUAGCAGGCUAUAAGCCAACUAUAAGCAUAUUUUAUAGAGAUAAGAGAGGAGAGAGAAGAGAGGUGGGCUACUAAAUUGUAGUCAGCUACACAUGGACUACAAGACACCAGCGCAUGUUUAAGUGUAGUGGAACCAUGUCUUGUGGGUAAAGUUGUACACCUCUAAUUAGAGUAAAACUAUUCGAAUAGUCGUGUCCACGGUUAUGUGGCGAACUGACAGACUCAUUGGGAUUAGUUGAACCUUAAUAACCUGAUUAAUUUGAAAUUGGUUUGACCCUAUCAACGUGAUGUAACGUUGGCAGUGGAUUGGGUCUGUCGUAACAUGGUGUAACGUUGGGCAGAGGAUUGACCCUGUCGCUACGUGGUGUAACGUUCGACAACGGUUUGGGCCUAUUGCAACGUGGUGUAACGUUGGACAGUGGAUGAUUAUUUCAAAUGUUUACUUUACUUUUUAUUUUGCUAAAUAAAUACUACUUAUGCAAAAUUAACCUAGGCUAUCCUUGAUUCCCUAUUGCAUUCAUUGUUCUUCAUCUCUUGGGUGUUAGUCGGUGAGUAUCGUGGUUCGUACUCAGCCUUGCUUAAUUUUUCCCCACCAGAGCAUGUGCCAAAGCCUUUGUCAGAUGGAGGUACUUUCGAAGGUUGAAGUGAGGUUCAGUCCGCGGCCGUCAAGAAUGCCUGUGGUGUGGAGUCAUCAUCGCCAAGCUGAAGAUUAGAUGUUUCUAGUCUUGUUUUUCUUUUCCGCUAUAUUUCGAUAGAUAAUUGUUUUUAUUUGUUUUUAAGUCGUGAAACUGUGUAUUGAUUUCUCAUAGUGUGUACUCGGGUUGAUUCUUAGACCGAGAUUUAAUACAUGCAAUUGUUCGGAAAUUGGUGUAAAUUUCUAGGCGUGACACCGCGCCAGUAGGUUUGGAAGUAACAUAAAAUAUAAAUUACGUGGUGCGGAUAGAAAUUACAUUGUAUACUAUUUGGGUUUCAAUCUUCGGUCAUUGUGGUUUCGUCGGUUUCUAAACUUCAGUCUAUUUUACGUGGUAUAGAUCAUAUUUGCGC
rnacentral:lncRNA from 1 species